rnacentral:lncRNA from 1 species
UUUAACAUGGUUGGAAAUGAGUUGUAAAACAUUCAUUUAAUUGUAUUUAUAAAGAAUUUACAUCUUUACAUUUGAGGGUCUCAGAGAUUGAACCACCAACAAAACGACAUGAACAGGUUGGAUCUAGAUCUCCCAAAUACAAUGUAGCAAAGAUUAAAAAGGAAGGCAAAAAUAUAAGCACAGAGAACCUAGUGCUGGCAGGGUCAAGCCCAGUUCAUGUGACUUCAUUGUGUCUAUGAGUUCAUAUGAGCUUUGCUCUUGUUGAUUUAAUUUGAUUUCAGUGUGUCCUCCAUCUCCUCUGUCUCUGACCUUCUUGGAGCUUCUUCUUCCCUGAGCUUUAGGCAUAGAGUUUAGUGUAGAAAUCCAUUUAGAGCUGACUGUUUCAUGGUCUCUCACUUUUUGUGUCAUGUCUGCCAGUAGGUCUCUUCAUUUGUUUUUAUCUGCUGCAGAUGGAACUUAUCUGAUGAUCAUUGCAAAAAGCACCAAUCUUCCAUGAUUCUGUUGUUUGUGACUUGGUAAACAUAGAGUGCAACAUAAUAAUUAAAUAAAAAUAAUUUGAUAUCAAUUUUUUGUCUUAGUCUGUAUCAGGAUAUUUUUUCCAGAUCCAUAAAUGUGCCUAUAAAUUUUAUGAUUUAUUGAUUUUAACAGAUGAGUAAUAUAAAAUUGUGUAAAUUAUCACAUUUAUCAAUUUUCAGUUGAAACCAUCUUAAUUGUUUCCAAUUUUUGUCUCGAGGAAUAGAGAAACAAUGAACAUAGUGAUCAAGUGUCUCUAUGGUGGGAUGAAUCACCAUUUGGGUAUCUUCCUACAUGGGUUAAAACUGGAACAUGAAGAAGAAUGAUUCUUAUCUUCCUGAAGAAUUGCCACACUGAUUUCCAUAGUAGUGGUCUAAGUUUGCACUCCCAUAGAAAUAUUUAUGAGAGUUCUUCUUACUUGAAAUCAUGAAUAGCAUGAACUUUCACAUAAUUUACUGUUCUUAGCCAUUCUAACAUGUGUAAAAUGAAGUUCCAAACUAGUUUUCUUUUUGCUUUUGCCUGAUGUUUAAGCAUAUUAAACAUUUUUUAAAUGUUUAUCAGAUUUUUGAUGUUUCAUUAUUGAGAAUCCUUGCUUUUGAUUUAUAGACCAUUUUAUUUUUGGAAAUUUUGUUCAUUUACAUUUCAAAUUUUAUCCCCUUUCCCAAAGACACCCCUACCUGAUCCCCCUUUUUUUUAAACCUCAGAAACUGGCUGAUAUUGAAACAGCUUUUAACCAUCAAGAAAAACUUUUCACUCCCAGGGAUCUAGGUUAGUUCAUUCUGCUGUUCUUCCUGUGGAGUUCCCAUCCUUUUCAGGGUCUAACUCUACCAUAAGAGUCCCAGGCCAGUUUCAAUGUUUGUCUGUGAGUAUAUCCAUCAGCCUCAGUCAGCUGCUGUGUUGAGCCUUUCAGAGGACAGUUAUGCUAGGCUCUUGUCUGCAAGCAUAACAGAAUAUCACUAAUAAGGCCAGGGAUUGGUGUUUGCCCAUGGGAUGUUUUUAAAGUUGAGCUAGUUAUUGGUUGGUCAUUCAUUCAGUCUCUGUUCCAUCUUUAAUACUGCAUUUCUUUUAGACAGAAAAAAAAAGAACAGAAAACUUUGGAUCAAAAGUUUUGUGGAUGGGUCGGUGUCCUUACCACUCUACUUGAGAUCCUGCUUGAUUACAGGAUGUAGCCUUUUCAGGUUCCAUAUCCCCACUAUUGGGCAUUUUAGCUAAGGUCACUGUACUGACUCCUUGGAGCCUCAUCCAUUCCAGGUCUCUGGUACUUCCUAGAGAUCCACCCCCCCCCCCAACUCACCACCCUGGCUGCUGCAGAUUUCCAUUCAUCCUCUUAGUCCUCUGUGCCUCUCUCCUGUCUCUUCCCACACAGAUCCUAGCUCCAUUAUUUCCCUACCCUCUGCCCCCCUGUAAGCUCUCAGAGUCUGAGCCACUAACAAAAGUACAUAUACAGGCUAGAAGAAGGCCCCUGACACAUAUGGAGCAGAUGUGAAGCUCAGUCUCCAUAUUGUUUCCCCAACAACUGGAACAGAGGCUCUCCCUAAGCAGUAUCUUGACGGUGGUAUCUGUUACAAAACAGUGCUGACUUUUUUGACCUUAGUGGGAAAGAAUGUGUUUAAUCUGGCAGAAGCAUGAUGUGCCAAGUUAGAGAGAGACCUGGGGAAACCAGCCCUCUCAGAGUAGAAGGGGAGGUGGAACAGGGGUGGAAGUCUGUGAGGGGAUGACUGGGAGGGGGCAAUAUUUAGGAUGUAGUAAAUAAUGUAGGAUGUAAAUUAAUGAGUGAAUAAAUACAUGUAAAGAAAAAUUAAAAACAAAAGGAAGCGAAAGAUAAACAAACAAAAGCAGGUGUUGAAGAGGUAGCUCAGCAGUUAAGAACACUUGAAGUUUAAGGAUCAGUUCGAUGUACAUUUAUGGUGAUUUAACAGCCAUCUUUUCUCAAGUUUCAAAGGAUGCAUUGUCCUUUUAUGAGAAAUGUAGGCACUUCAUACAUGAGAUACACAGACCUACCUGUAGGC